ACUCAAAUGAAUUGACGGGGGCCCGCACAAGCGGUGGAGCAUGUGGUUUAAUUCGACGCAACGCGAAGAACCUUACCCGGGCUUGAACUGCAGAUGACAGACCAUGAAAGUGGUUUUCCGCAAGGACAUCUGGAGAGGUGCUGCAUGGCUGUCGUCAGCUCGUGUCGUGAGAUGUUGGGUUAAGUCCCGCAACGAGCGCAACCCUUGUUCGCUGUUGCCAUCAGGUAAUGCUGGGCACUCUGCGGAGACUGCCGGUGACAAACCGGAGGAAGGUGGGGAUGACGUCAAGUCAGCAUGGCCUUUAUGUCCGGGGCUACACACGUGCUACAAUGGCCGGUACAAACCGCCGCAAACCUGCAAAGGUGAGCUAAUCGGAGAAAGCCGGUCUCAGUUCGGAUUGUAGGCUGCAACUCGCCUGCAUGAAGUCGGAAUCGCUAGUAAUCGCGGAUCAGCACGCCGCGGUGAAUACGUUCCCGGGCCUUGUACACACCGCCCGU
rnacentral:rRNA from 1 species